UACGGGGGGGGCAAGCGUUGUUCGGAAUUACUGGGCGUAAAGGGUUUGUAGGUGGCCCGCUAAGUCACACGUGAAAUCCCUCAGCUUAACUGGGGAACUGCGUGUGAGACUGGCAGGCUCGAGGGCAGGAGAGGAACGCGGAAUUCCAGGUGUAGCGGUGAAAUGCGUAGAUAUCGGGAGGAACACCCGUGGCGAAGGCGGCCAUCUGGACCAGCACUGACGCUGAGGCACGAAAGCGUGGGGAGCAAACAGG
rnacentral:rRNA from 1 species